GAUAGCUCAGUUGGUUAGAGUGUGGUGCUGAUAAUGCCAAGGUCGCAGGUUUGAUCCCCUGCGUAUUCCA